UACGGGGGGAGCAAGCGUUGUUCGGAUUUACUGGGCGUAAAGGGCGCGUAGGCGGUCGUGACAAGUCACUUGUGAAAUCUCCGGGCUUAACUCGGAGCGGUCAAGUGAUACUGUCGUGCUAGAGUACAGAAGGGGCAACUGGAAUUCUCGGUGUAGCGGUGAAAUGCGUAGAUAUCGAGAGGAACACCUGCGGCGAAGGCGGGUUGCUGGGCUGAUACUGACGCUGAGGCGCGAAAGCCAGGGGAGCGAACGGG
rnacentral:rRNA from 1 species